CUGACUGCUAUCGGAUUGAUACUAAGCCAUGUGAGUCAUUGCAGCAAUGCAAGGCAGACGGCUCAGUAACACGUAGUCAAUCUACCCUAUGGACGGGGAUAACCUCGGGAAACUGAGGAUAAACCCCGAUAGAUCAUUAUGCCUGGAACGGUUAAUGGUCCAAAUGAUUCGUCGCCAUAGGAUGGGACUGCGGCCUAUCAGCUUGUUGGUGAGGUAAUGGCCCACCAAGGCUAUUACAGGUACGGGCUCUGAGAGGAGAAGCCCGGAGAUGGGUACUGAGACACGGACCCAGGUCCUAUGGGGCGCAGCAGGCGAGAAAACUUUGCAAUGUGCGCAAGCACGACAAGGUUAAUCCGAGUGAUUCCUGCUAAAGGAAUCUUUUGUUAGUCAUAAAACCACUGAUGAAUAAGGGGUGGGCAAGUUCUGGUGUCAGCCGCCGCGGUAAAACCAGCACCUCAAGUGGUCAGGAGGAUUAUUGGGCCUAAAGCAUCCGUAGCCUGCUUUGUAAGUUUUCGGUUAAAUCCAUCUGCUCAACUGAUGGGCCGCCGAAAAAACUGCAAAGCUAGGGAGUGGGAGAGGUAGACGGUACUCGGUAGGAAGGGGUAAAAUCCUUUGAUCUAUUGAUGACCCCCUGUGGCGAAGGCGGUCUACCAGAACACGUUCGACGGUGAGGGAUGAAAGCUGGGGGAGCAAACCGGAUUAGAUACCC
rnacentral:rRNA from 1 species